CAGAACUGAAACGUCCAGGGUAGACGGUUUCCUUUCUCCACCCUGGAGAGGCUCCUCACAGUGAUGGAUGCUGCUGACAUGCAAAGUUUUCGACAGAUAUUUCAAUUCGGUCGACCGGAAUGAAAUUAGCCGUAGUCGAUCGGAAGACGCCGAAGCAACAACAAACUGCAAUCGGACGACGCACAUGGACCAGACAAUCCACAAAAACGGCCAAUUCUAGGGGAAGAUUGAGACGAUAUCACAGCGACGUCGGCCAGAGUUAUGAACGAGGCAGCUUCUCCUCAGAAGCUUCAC